rnacentral:rRNA from 1 species
GACAGAGGGUGCAAACGUUGUUCGGAAUUACUGGGCGUAAAGCGUGCGCAGGCGGUUCGUCGUGUCCGAUGUGAAAGCCCCGGGCUCAACCUGGGAAUGGCAUUGGAAACUGGCGGACUCGAGUGUGGCAGAGGGGGGUGGAAUUCCGCGUGUAGCAGUGAAAUGCGUAGAGAUGCGGAGGAACACCGAUGGCGAAGGCAGCCCCCUGGGCUAACACUGACGCUCAGGCACGAAAGCGUGGGGAGCAAACAGG